rnacentral:rRNA from 1 species
UACGUAGGGUGCGAGCGUUGUCCGGAAUUAUUGGGCGUAAAGAGCUCGUAGGUGGCCUGUCGCGUUGGCUGUGAAAACUCGGGGCUCAACUCCGAGCUUGCAGUCGAUACGGGCAGGCUAGAGUUCGGCAGGGGGAGACUGGAAUUCCUGGUGUAGCGGUGAAAUGCGCAGAUAUCAGGAGGAACACCGGUGGCGAAGGCGGGUCUCUGGGCCGAUACUGACACUGAGGAGCGAAAGCGUGGGGAGCGAACAGG